AAUACUUUCAUUUAAGAAUUUAGAUAGUGAUUGAAGUACUACAGACACUAUGAUCAAAUUCAACAGUACAGAUUUUACAAUAUCUUUUCUAUUUGGUUAAUACAAGAUAGAUAUAUUCUACAACUUCUACAUGAUAGUUGAAGUUAGAUCAUUACCUUUUCGAAUUAUUUAAAGCUGAGUUUUGUCAUUGUUCAAUUCAUACAUGUAGCAAUACUUAAGCUAAGAUGGAAUCUCAAGAUGAACCUUGUGCCUUGCAAACAGGUAAAUCUUCUUUGAAAUUGGGAGCAAUUCUAAGGAUGGGAUUUCUCUCAAAGAAAUUCGCAGGCUUCAGUUCGAAACUUGACGACACAGUUGGCAUGAUUGGAUAAUCCUCUUGACAUGGUAUGUGAUGAAACCCUAUAGUGUACCACAACACAAUGUCUUUAUUCUCAAUUGGACGAUCCCUGCAUAAUAAUAUAACAACAAUUUCAGAAAUUUGACAGUAUAGUUGAUGUCUUCACUAGUCACAUUGAGUACAAAAAAACACAUUUACUUAUACACUAAAUAUAUGAUAGAAUAUUUUCGGAAUAAUUAAAUCCAAACUACACCUCAAGAAAGUGAUAGAUAACCAUUGUGCAGAUUGUAUAGAGAAAACUGUUGAGAACAUAACACACCUAUGCCAGAAAAAACUCCUAGAAGCAUAUUUCCCCAAAACAAACUGAGUGUAGACUAUAAAGGACAGCUUGGUGCAUUAGUGCUCCCGCUAUGUGCGGUAUCCCGGGAAGGGUCCGACUACAUGGUCUAUUGUAUACACUCUUACCUUAUUUUUUUAUAGAAGAUGGCAGUUUUACAGCUAUGUACGUCACCUUAGUCAUAUGGCAGCAACUUUUUACCGUUGCGCCAAGGCUCCCCUUAAGAUUAUCAAAUGCCACAUCAGCUGUGUUGAAUUCAAGUUUUAUUGAAAAAAGAUUUUUCAUUCUACUUUUCUAUCAAUUUCUUCGUUAUUGAUUUCGUCUAUGCAAUUUAUUUCAGUGAAGAAAAACCAUAGGUGAGUAAGUAAUUUGUUUGUCCUAGUAUUAUUAUGUCCAAUGUCUUGGGGAUUGAGAAUAUCAUUUACUUUUGUGGAUGAUUCCAUGCCUGUCAUUUGUGUAUGUGACUGUGAUUGAGAGUGAGAUGAGAAUAGACAGUUUAGGAUAUAUUAGCCUAUAUUUGUAUGUAGUUCAGAUUAUUGUGACUAUGUACAGAUUUUAAGUAUCACACACGAGGGUGUAUGUGGUUGUUACAUAUAUAUAGAAUUGUGAAAACAAUCUCUUACCUGUUGGACCACACUUGAAGGGUAUCAUCGCCUCUACUCUGGUAAACAAAUAAGCCAGCAGCCCAUUGCUCACUCUUGUUGUAAGGAGUGACCCAGAUUUGGUUGUUGGUAAAAGCUCCUCUCUUCUGUGGUGGAUCUUCAGGAUCUAGAAGACUAGCUGCUGUGGCACUGGGAACUAAUUUGUACCCAACAUGGUUUCCUACCCUUGUCUUCUUGGAUGGGUUGACCACAUGAAAUUCAGAUGGAUCAUAGAGUUUAAGCUUUAUUUGAGCAUCUUUCUCCGUCUUUGCAACAUUUUUCACUGCUUUUAGGUAGCUCUUUCUAGGUGAUUCUCCUGGAGAGGUCUCUUGCCUCUUGAUUUUUACAUUAACAAAUGAGUUCUCAGAGCCAUCAAUGUCCAUAUCAAGGUAAUAUGUGAUAAAGUGGUCAUGGAUUACACCAAUGAUGUUUUCGCUCAAAAGGGUUCCAAAUAGAUAUUCUUGGUUGGGAAUUUGGCUCAUAUUGUCAUAAGUGGUUCCUUUCACCAUCAAGAUACCACUUAAUCCGACCUGUGUAAGAAAGAAUCCUAGAUAUCAGUACAAAUUAUUGAAUACAAUAAUAGAAAACAAGUGACAUCAAUCUAAAAAAAUCCAUCCUUGCCAUAAUCAAUAGUGCAAGGCUGCAAACUGUUCAUUUUUCUACUACAUGACAAUUUAUUAUGCAAACUGUUGUUCAUGUAGGACAAAUUAUUAAAUAAUUAUUGUGCAUACAAAUAUGCUUCACAAACUAUGGUGCCUCUAAAUACUUUAUAAGUAAUAUUAUGAUAGGUAACUGUUAGUGAGAUAGGUUCCUUACAUGCAUAUUUCCUUCCACACAUUACUAAUAGGAGACCCAAACAACUGCUGAAACUAUGGAGCUAACCACUGUUAUGGGUAUUGAAGAAGAGCCAUGGGACCCCAAAGGAUAUUUUUAUCCUUCAUUUGUGUUAUGCUCAACACAUUUUAAGCAGUGGGACCCGGUCACCUGGGCAGGAAAAUGUUUUAUGCUGAGUGCUAGCACAAGCUAUUCACCUUGAGGACAAAGUGAAAUUUCAGGGAUGGAGUAUUGAUAGGUAACUGUUAGUGAGAGUUAGAGAGUUUGUCAGCUUGUAUAGGGAGUUAGUUAGAAAUAAGAGGGAGAAAGUUUAGAGAGGACUAUCUUUUGUUUUGGAAAGGGUUAAGAGUGGGACAGAACCAGGUCUCUCGAAUACCUGGCUGUAUCAAGAAUUUUCUUGUGAAUAAACACAUUUUCUUGCUAUACUCUGAUCCAGUUUCCAUCAUACUAUCAUAGGUUGAUUUUUAGUUUGUGAUGCACAGCUGUGUACAAGCAUGCAAAAACCUCUUCUGUUACUAGGAAUAUCAAUCUCAACACAUCCUGUUGAGGCAGCUGUUAUUGUUAUAAACAUCAGUAUUUUGAUAUUUAAUUUAUAUUAUUACUUUAUUUUGUUGUACUUUGUUUCCUAUGACUUCAAUUAUGGUAAAUCGUUAGGUAAAGUAACCAUCACUAGAUGGCAGAACACCUUACCUGUUCUGUGUAAGCUGGCUUUAUGUAUUGUAUCAGAAAUGUUAUUGCUGAAUGAAACUUCUUACAUUUCUGAACUGCUCAUUGUGCUAUCAAUUCCCUAAACAAGAAAAUUCAAACUAAGUUGAAUUGCCAUCACUAACCUUUGCUCUGAUUAGCCCAUCAGUUUGAAAUUCCCAGUCCAUGAUAUAGUCAUAGUUCCCCAAUGAUACUGCCAUUCUAACCACUAGCGUCACCUUUGGCCUAACUUCUGUAACCUACCAUAACAGCAUAAUUUCAAAGUUGAAGUAUGUAUCGAAAUGAAAAUGAAAAUGAAAAAUCUCUGCAUAUUCAGAUUGACAAGUUAAAGUUAAAAUCUUUCUUUGGAACCUAGGUAAAGGACUUAAAUUUUCUAAAAUAAGCCAUUGUUUAAGAUAUCAAGGGAUUCCUAGCUUGUUAUAUAUGUGCAAAUGUAUAGAUCAAUCAAUGACUAUAAGCCCUCAAUUUUCCAUCUAAAAUGAAUGUUUCAGUUAGAGUACCAGAUUAAGGUUCAUAAUGAACUAGUAACAAGAGACCUAUCAACACUUCUAACUUCAUGACUCCAUAAUUAAAUACUAGCAGUAUGUGGUUAAUUUUGAUAAUGAGCUCUCAUGUUGGCAUGAGUGGAAUUCUUACCGUCAAGUCAGUGAUGGGACACUCAGUAUGGCGCCACGCAACGUCACCAGCAUAUCUCUCAAAAAUGCAAAUCACAUUGGGUUGGACAUAGGGUGUUCCAUCACCAGAGGCAAACACAGCAUCCAUGUAGUAGGCAUUUCUUGGGCAAUCAUUCAAGGGAUCUAAAGGCAUUGCACUGAACCCCAUUCCAUACUCUCCCCCAUCCAUGUAUGUCUUAAAGUACCACCCAUCAGUAGGAUCCAUGUAAGGCACGAAUAGCUCAGAUGUGAACCCUUUGUACAUGACAUUUCUCAGCUUUAAUGUGUCUGGGUCUCUCACCUUUGCUUGAGAAAUGAUGGUCCCAGCUCUUGGGUCAGGUUUCACAUGAAAUUCCCAGUUAGCCCAUUUAACUAAGUUCCCCUCAACUGUGAAGCUUGGACCUUUUGGUUGUUCCAAGGAUAUUGGAUUUACUAGCUUAAACUCUCCAUUGAGCUUCUGAAUGGAGUAACGAUAGUCAGUGUUAAUGCCUUUGGCCACAGGAAUAUUCUUGCCAUUUUCUGAAAUGGAUACCACCUCUUUUCUGUCCAUGUCAACCAGCACAACUACCCCCUCAAUGGGUUUCAUGUAGAAGUUCACAGUGCCCUCUUUGGAAAAACACUGCACCUUUAUAAAUCUAGUAUUUUCUUCCACUGGUGUCCCAUACCACCCUGAAGAAACUGGCAGACAUAUAAGAUCUGCCAUAUUGACACCACGUUGACUUAUUGUACGGUUGAAUUCCUUGUUCUUCAAGGGAACCUCCAGUACCCCCAACAACUCCUCCAGGGCCAUGAUGGGGUAUCCAGAAACCGUCUUUGUUUCAUGGCUGGUCACCGUGCUUGUGCUUAGGUCUAUGAUGAGUGUGUGAAUGACACCCUUCACAACUGCAAUCACAGAAGCUUUCCUUGGUGGGAGUGGAUCACCUUUCUCCCAUUUGAGGACAACUUUUUGGCCGGGUCUUCGAGGACAAUGAAGUUGAGUGUGUAGCUGGAUGAGGACUUGAAUAGAGGGUGAGUGGAGAGGAUAGUGCGAACCUUGUUGAAUUCUUGGACAGUUAGAGGGUCCAGAGGGUGGUGAGGAACAUCAGAUUCAUGGUUUUGAUGGUUUUUGGUGAAUAAUGUUGGUUUCUUGAUCACAUUAGGUUCUGUUGAAGAAUGGAUGCGGUUCUUUGACGUGCACCAUCCAGAGUAAAGAUUGCAGUCUAGAGCUUCCUUGUUGGUGAAUGAUGGAAGGUGAAGCCGAGCUAUGAGCAAAACUAGUACUGCACUGAUUGACAGAACCAAGAAGCGCAACAAGUUUCUAGCAUCCAUGGAUAUCACUCUAUUACUUGUUUUUUCAGUAAAAGUUAUUCAGAGAGAGUAUAUAAACCACUAACUGAGAUUAAAAUAUACAAGUUUUCAUUCAUGACCGCAAGUUAAAGAUGAGAACAGAGGGAAGGACUACGGUUUCAUUGUUGAUUAACCAAAUCGUCACCUCUUUGACUUUCUUGGCUUUAGUUAUAUGUCCAUUAAUUACCAGAGGCCUAUUUCUCUAUUAUUGCACAGAAAAGUCCAAGCAUUUGCAACAUUGUUUACAGCCAGUUACUGUCCAGUGACGUGUUAACUCACCAGAAUCAAAUGAAAAUGUAGAAAUCCACUCUUUGCUCACACAAGCAGUCCGCAAUUUUAAAGCAAAUAUGACUUGUUCAAUUCUAGUGGUUCAUAUUUCAUAAUUCCUACUAAAAUCUAUUUGGAUUGGUAACUAGGUCCACUCUUCUUGUUCUCUAGCUGACACGUGAGUUUGGCUGUACUGAAGUUCAGAAAUUCUAAUGUCUUGUUAUGAUUAAAAAAACUCUCCAAAUGAUAAGGUCUCCAUCUUUUGUGAAUGCCUGGACUUUACAAGUAUCCUUACGCAUGAUAAGGUUUCUUUUUAAUCCACUCUCCUCUGAUAGUGAGAGGAGAAUAGAUAAGAGAAUGGAUACCAGUUUUAACGUGGCUCACUGCUUAACAAAGACUACAUGAACAAUUAGCUGAGGAACAAGCAAGAAUGGCUGUGAUUUAGCUGUUGAAUUGCUGCGAACUGGCUCUGAAAUAACUUAAAUUACUGUCGUUUUAGCUUCGGAUAUAACUAUAAUUAGCUGUGAAUUGACUGAGUUAGCUAUGGACUUUGCUGCAAAAUUGGUUUUCAAAUUAGCUGUGAAACUACCUGUCGAAACAGCGAGUUAACUAUGAAAUAAACUGCGAAUGGCUAUCGAGUUGGCUGUGAAUUAGCUUUGAAUUGGAUGCAUUUUGGCCAAAUAGCUCUCGUACUAGAAAGUUGGCUGCAAAAUUUGGACCGUAUAAAAUUAAGCGGUACUGAUUGACAGAACCAGGAAGCGCAACAAUUUUCAAGCAUCCAUGGAAGUUCUUUCUCCUCACAUGUAACUUUCUUCUUCUUCGUUCGCAGGCGGCAGGUCCCGUGUAUUUACUCUUGGAAGCUCUUUCACCUCACAGGUAACUUUCUUCCUAUUGUUCAUGAAUUUGGGAAAUUUCACCCCUUUCCUCACAUGCUCUUUAAUCACUGACCUUUUUCUUUAAUCCUUUACAGAGUCUAAAUUCUUAUUCUAUAAGGUCUGAUUCUUUUCUAAAUUCUUAUAUCCAACAUGCUAACAAUUUCAGUUGCAUAUAAAAUCUAUUCAUAAUUGAGAUUACUUCCCCAAUACUGUUAAUACGAAAUUUAGCUAGUAAUUGAAGUCUUGAAGAUACUUAUGAUCAAAUUUAACAGGACACAUUCUACAAUAUCAUUUUUAUUUGGUAUAUACAUGACAUGCAUAUGCAACAACUUCUACAUCAUAGUCAAAGUUCGGCCAUUAACAUUACUAAUUUUUUAAGGCUGAGUUUCAUCAUCUUUCAUUUCAUACAUAUAGCAAUACAAUGCUUAAGCUAAGAUGAAAACUCAAGAUGAAUCAUGUGCCUUGCAAACAGGUAAAUCUUCUAUGAAAUUGGGAGCAAUUCUGAGGAUGGGAUUUCUCUCAAAGAAAUUGGCUGGCUUCAGUUCGAAACUUGACGACACAGUUGGCAUGACAGGAUAGUCCUCUUGACAUG
rnacentral:lncRNA from 1 species